rnacentral:rRNA from 1 species
UACGAGAGGCCCAAACGUUAUUCGGAAUUACUGGGCUUAAAGAGUUCGUAGGCGGCGCAGAAAGUAGGGUGUGAAAGCCCUCGGCUUAACCGAGGAAUUGCGCUCUAAACUACUGUGCUUGAGGAACCUAGAGGUGAGCAGAACUGAUGGUGGAGCGGUGAAAUGCGCAGAUAUCGGGAGGAACACCAAUGGCGAAGGCAGCUCGCUGGGACGGUACUGACGCUGAGACGCGAAAGCGUGGGGAGCAAACAGG